rnacentral:rRNA from 1 species
GAUGAACGCUGGCGGCGUGCUUAACACAUGCAAGUCGAACGGUGAAGGCGGAGCUUGCUCUGCUGGAUCAGUGGCGAACGGGUGAGUAACACGUGAGCAAUCUGCCCCUGACUCUGGGAUAAGCGCUGGAAACGGCGUCUAAUACUGGAUACGAGCUGCGAAGGCAUCUUCAGCAGCUGGAAAGAAUUUCGGUCAGGGAUGAGCUCGCGGCCUAUCAGCUUGUUGGUGAGGUAAUGGCUCACCAAGGCGUCGACGGGUAGCCGGCCUGAGAGGGUGACCGGCCACACUGGGACUGAGACACGGCCCAGACUCCUACGGGAGGCAGCAGUGGGGAAUAUUGCACAAUGGGCGAAAGCCUGAUGCAGCAACGCCGCGUGAGGGACGACGGCCUUCGGGUUGUAAACCUCUUUUAGCAGGCAAGAAGCGAAAGUGACGGUACCUGCAGAAAAAGCGCCGGCUAACUACGUG